UAUUAGCCAAUAGCCAUGGUUCAAAACGACACCUUGACGCUGUUUGCCUUUUCUUCUUUCUUCGAUGAAUUGUCUCCUAUUCGUUAAUCCAACGAGAUUCCAAUUUCCAUACUCUGCUCCCUUAUCCGCGGGGAAAGCAAGGAAGUGUGCUUCAUUCAAAUACUAUGCUUUCGUCGAUUCACUGUCCCACUGGUUCGUUUCUGUUUCUCCUGCCCUCAUCACCAAAACAUGGACAUCGUGGUUCGAGGGAGGCACAUUCGAGAACUGGGUUAUGUAAUGUCGUGAGCAAACCAAGACCAAGAGCAAUGAUCUCUGCGACCCAGGAAGGCAAACCUGAAGUGGGUCUUCAAGUUGGCGAGCGGCUUUAUCUUGGGAUGGACUUUGGCACGUCCGGUGCCAGGUUUGCCCUCAUCGACAAGCGAGGGACUAUCCACGCCGAAGGGAGGAGGGAGUAUCCGCCGUAUAAGAAAGAGCAAAGAAACAAUGGAUUGGAUACGUUCUUGGAAAUCGACACUUUUCUUGCUGCUUGAAGACAUUCCACUUCAUCUUCGCGAAUUUGUUGUUUCCAUUUCUCUUGAUGGGACUUCUGCGACUACCAUAAUUGUGGACAGCACAACUGGAGAACCAUUGUGUAGACCUUUGCUCUACAAUGAGAGUUGUUCUGAUGCUUUACCGACAGUAAAAUCUAUUGCUCCUGCAAACCAUACAGUUUGCUCUGGGUCCUCGACUUUGUGCAAGCUCGUCUCCUGGUGGAACAUGGUCGAUUCAGAUAAAAAACUUGCAACAUUGUUGCAUCAAGCGGAUUGGCUUUUGUGGCUUCUUCAUGGAAAUCUCGGAGUGACUGAUUACAAUAAUGCUCUGAAGGUUGGCUAUGAUCCUGAACUUGACUCUUAUCCACAUUGGUUGCUCGCGCAGCCCUAUUCUCAAUUUUUACCAUCUGUUAAAGCUCCUGGAACUCCAAUUGGAUUUUUGAAAGAGGACGUUAAAACAAAAUAUGGUAUGUCUUCAUCCCACUGAGUAGUCCGGUAACGAAGGCUAUGUGCCUUUGUACUUUUCUGUUUAGACUCGAUGUAGUCCGGUAAUGAAAGCUAUAAGCCAUUUUGCUUUUCUACUUAGACUCAAUUCUUAGGUACGUUGGUGUCAAUUAGAAGAUUGUUCAAAUUGUUUUCCACUGGGGUCUCACAGUUAAGGGGAUACAUUCCAUCAGAAGAUCUCCACAUCUAAAAAAAAAUCCAUUGGACUAUUUGGUGUAAUUUCACUUUUACCAAAACACAUCCAUGCAGGUUUUCCAAAGGAUUGUGUUGUAUGCACGGGAACCACAGAUAGUAUAGCGGCUUUUCUUGCAGCUCAGGCAACACAACCGGGGAAAGCUGUCACUUCUUUGGGUUCAACCCUUGCUGUCAAGCUACUAAGCACCAGUAGGAUUGACGAUGCACGAUAUGGGGUGUACAGUCAUCGUCUUGAUGAUAAGUGGCUAGUUGGAGGUGCAUCAAAUACCGGUGGAGCUGUUCUUCGACAAAUUUUUACUGAUGAGCAGUUGGAGCACUUAAGUGAACAGAUUGAUCCCAUGAAAACGUCUCCGCUAGACUACUACCCUCUGCCAACUGUGGGAGAGAGAUUUCCUGUGGCAGAUCCAAAUAUGGCUCCUAGGUUACAUCCACGACCAAAGAGUGAUGUGGCCUAUUUGCACGGGAUUUUCGAAUCAAUUGCCCGCAUUGAGGCAAAUGCUUAUGGGUUGCUGAAGGAUCUAGGAGCAACCCAAGUUGAAGAAGUGUUCACGGCUGGAGGUGGUGCAAAAAAUGCCAAAUGGAUCAAGAUACGUGAGAGAGUGCUGGGUUUGCCUGUGAGUCCUGCAAUUCAGACACAGGCUGCGUAUGGAGCUGCUUUAUUGGCGUUGAAGGGCGCUCAACAAGGCGUCCAAGGAGUAUAGGAAUAGUAUAUGUUUGGGUUGAAGCCAAUGGAGGCAGAAAGCAAACUUUCAGUGCUGAAUCAUGUGUGGUAACAAUUUCUAGUAUCAUGUAUUCACUUAUAUAUAUACGCACGUGUGUGUAUUUGUACACUUACACGCACACUCUCUCUAUUAAUAACUAGUUCAUUAGACAUUCACAGGCAAACCAAGCACUCUCUCUAUUCAUAACUAGUGCAUUGUGAGAAUUAAUGCCAACAAAUUUUACUGAGUUGAAUGAA